AAAAUUCUACCCUCCGUCCCGAAAUACUUGUCAUCAAAAUAAAUAAAAGGGGAUGUAUCUAGAUGUACUUUAGUUUUAGAUACAUCCCUUUUUGUCCAUUUUGAUGACAAGUAUUUUCGGACGGAGGGAGUAUUUU
rfam:Triticum urartu cultivar G1812 contig754113, whole genome shotgun sequence.